GACGAACGCUGGCGGCGUGCCUAAUACAUGCAAGUCGAGCGAAGUUUUUCUGGUGCUUGCGUUAUAGAAACUUAACGGCGAGCGGGUGAGGAAGACGUAAAGAACCUCCCUCAUAGAUUGGGACAGCUAUUGGGAACUAUAGCUAAUACGGGAUAACAGUAUUUGUCGCAGUUGGGAUGUUUAAUAGUUGGUUGUGCUAACACUAUGAUAUGGCUUUGCGGUGGAUUAGCUAGUGUGUGGGGUAGAGGCCCACCAACGCGACGAUGCAUAGCCGACGUGAGAGGGUGAAGGGCCCCACUGGGAGUGAGACACGGCCCAGACUCCUACGGGCGGCACCGGUAGGGAAUGUUGCGCACUGGGCGAAAGACUGAAGGAGCGACGCCGGGCGAGUGCAGAGGGAUUUCGGUUCGUAUAGCUGUGUUGUUAGGGAAGAAUGGAUAUGUUGUAGAUAUAGCUGUAAGAGACGGUACCUAAACAGAAAGCCACGGCUAACUACGUG
rnacentral:rRNA from 1 species